AAUAGAGUAAGCUAAAUAUAAGCUGUUGGGUUCAUACCCCAAAAAUGAAUAAUUUAAAUUCCUUUAUUA
rnacentral:tRNA from 1 species